CUGGAGGUAUCAGAAGUGCGAAUGCUGACAUAAGUAACGAUAAAGCGGGUGAAAAGCCCGCUCGCCGGAAGACCAAGGGUUCCUGUCCAACGUUAAUCGGGGCAGGGUGAGUCGACCCCUAAGGCGAGGCCGAAAGGCGUAGUCGAUGGGAAACGGGUUAAUAUUCCCGUACUUGGUGUUACUGCGAAGGGGGGACGGAGAAGGCUAUGUUGGCCGGGCGACGGUUGUCCCGGUUUAAGCGUGUAGGUGUGUGUUCCAGGUAAAUCCGGUUCACUUUAACACUGAGGCGUGAUGACGAGGCACUACGGUGCUGAAGCAACAAAUGCCCUGCUUCCAGGAAAAGCCUCUAAGCAUCAGGUAACAUCAAAUCGUACCCCAAACCGACACAGGUGGUCAGGUAGAGAAUACCAAGGCGCUUGAGAGAACUCGGGUGAAGGAACUAGGCAAAAUGGUGCCGUAACUUCGGGAGAAGGCACGCUGACACGUAGGUGAAGUGAUUUACUCAUGGAGCUGAAGUCAGUCGAAGAUACCAGCUGGCUGCAACUGUUUAUUAAAAACACAGCACUGUGCAAACACGAAAGUGGACGUAUACGGUGUGACGCCUGCCCGGUGCCGGAAGGUUAAUUGAUGGGGUCAGCGCAAGCGAAGCUCCUGAUCGAAGCCCCGGUAAACGGCGGCCGUAACUAUAACGGUCCUAAGGUAGCGAAAUUCCUUGUCGGGUAAGUUCCGACCUGCACGAAUGGCGUAAUGAUGGCCAGGCUGUCUCCACCCGAGACUCAGUGAAAUUGAACUCGCUGUGAAGAUGCAGUGUACCCGCGGCAAGACGGAAAGACCCCGUGAACCUUUACUAUAGCUUGACACUGAACAUUGAGCCUUGAUGUGUAGGAUAGGUGGGAGGCUUUGAAGUGUGGACGCCAGUCUGCAUGGAGCCGACCUUGAAAUACCACCCUUUAAUGUUUGAUGUUCUAACGUGGACCCGUAAUCCGGGUUGCGGACAGUGUCUGGUGGGUAGUUUGACUGGGGCGGUCUCCUCCUAAAGAGUAACGGAGGAGCACGAAGGUUGGCUAAUCCUGGUCGGACAUCAGGAGGUUAGUGCAAUGGCAUAAGCCAGCUUGACUGCGAGCGUGACGGCGCGAGCAGGUGCGAAAGCAGGUCAUAGUGAUCCGGUGGUUCUGAAUGGAAGGGCCAUCGCUCAACGGAUAAAAGGUACUCCGGGGAUAACAGGCUGAUACCGCCCAAGAGUUCAUAUCGACGGCGGUGUUUGGCACCUCGAUGUCGGCUCAUCACAUCCUGGGGCUGAAGUAGGUCCCAAGGGUAUGGCUGUUCGCCAUUUAAAGUGGUACGCGAGCUGGGUUUAGAACGUCGUGAGACAGUUCGGUCCCUAUCUGCCGUGGGCGCUGGAGAACUGAGGGGGGCUGCUCCUAGUACGAGAGGACCGGAGUGGACGCAUCACUGGUGUUCGGGUUGUCAUGCCAAUGGCACUGCCCGGUAGCUAAAUGCGGAAGAGAUAAGUGCUGAAAGCAUCUAAGCACGAAACUUGCCCCGA
rnacentral:rRNA from 3 species